GCUAUGCCAUGGUGACUGUACUUAUAGCAUUAGUAGCCUCCAGCGCAACUAAGGGUUGGAGUGGGCGUAGUCUAAGUCUGCUUGAUCCGCAUGCUUUUUGCCACUUUCUGAUGCAAGCUCCUUUAGCAUCCUUUACAUAGUUACAUUAGUAUAUUUUUCAGGUGUCAUGGUGCCACUAAUGCUUGUACUUGGUCCAGCAGUAUGCAAAAUGCCUGGAAUUUCUCUUUCAGGAGCUUUUGAUGUUCUUACUUAUUCGCUCAAAUUUCAGU